rnacentral:rRNA from 1 species
AACAGGAUUAGAUACCCUGGUAGUCCACGCCGUAAACGAUGUCGACUUGGAGGUUGUGCCCUUGAGGCGUGGCUUCCGGAGCUAACGCGUUAAGUCGACCGCCUGGGGAGUACGGCCGCAAGGUUAAAACUCAAAUGAAUUGACGGGGGCCCGCACAAGCGGUGGAGCAUGUGGUUUAAUUCGAUGCAACGCGAAGAACCUUACCUGGUCUUGACAUCCACGGAAGUUUUCAGAGAUGAGAAUGUGCCUUCGGGAACCGUGAGACAGGUGCUGCAUGGCUGUCGUCAGCUCGUGUUGUGAAAUGUUGGGUUAAGUCCCGCAACGAGCGCAACCCUUAUCCUUUGUUGCCAGCGGUCCGGCCGGGAACUCAAAGGAGACUGCCAGUGAUAAACUGGAGGAAGGUGGGGAUGACGUCAAGUCAUCAUGGCCCUUACGACCAGGGCUACACACGUGCUACAAUGGCGCAUACAAAGAGAAGCGACCUCGCGAGAGCAAGCGGACCUCAUAAAGUGCGUCGUAGUCCGGAUUGGAGUCUGCAACUCGACUCCAUGAAGUCGGAAUCGCUAGUAAUCGUGGAUCAGAAUGCCACGGUGAAUACGUUCCCGGGCCUUGUACACACCGCCCGUCACACCAUGGGAGUGGGUUGCAAAAGAAGUAGGUAGCUUAACCUUCGGGAGGGCGCUUACCACUUUGUGAUUCAUGACUGGAGUGAAGUCGUAACAAGGUAACC